ACGGAGGAUGCAAGCGUUAUCCGGAUUCAUUGGGUUUAAAGGGUGAGCAGGCGGAAUGAUAAGUCAGUGGUGAAAUCCUACGGCUAAACUGUAGAACUGCCAUUGAUACUGUUGUUCUUGAGUACACUUGGAGUGGGCGGAAUGUGUCAUGUAGCGGUGAAAUGCUUAGAUAUGACACAGAACACCGAUCGCGAAGGCAGCUAACUAAGUUGUAACUGACGCUCAGGCACGUAAGCGUGUGGAUCAAUCAG
rnacentral:rRNA from 1 species